rnacentral:lncRNA from 1 species
GGUGCACUCUCAUCUCUCUCUCCCCCAUCCAGGGGAAUGGAUCAGGACACUCACCUUCUAUGCUGCACAGAAGCCCUCAGACAUACUGUGAUUGCCAAGUGCCUCAAGUUCCCGCCAGAGAGUGCACAGGGAAACUAGUUGUGUGCCAAGGGAGUUUGGAGAAGUAUGGCAGUAAAAGUGGAUCUGUUUGCAGGAGCAAGCACAGGCUGGACAUAGAUCCCCUUUCACCCCUACGUAUGUAGCAGAUGUGCAACUUGGCCUUGUUGCAAGUCCUCCAAUAACUGGAUCUGGGGCUAUUCCUGACUCUAUUGCCUCAACGGAGGAAGGAGUGCCUAGUCUGGUAGUGACUUGAUGU